UACAGAGGUCUCAAGCGUUGUUCGGAUUCAUUGGGUGUAAAGGGUGCGUAGGCGGCGCGGUAAGUCGGGUGUGAAAUCUCGGGGCUUAACUCCGAAACUGCAUUCGAUACUACCGUGCUUGAGGACUGGAGAGGAGACUGGAAUUUACGGUGUAGCGGUGAAAUGCGUAGAUAUCGUAAGGAAGACCAGUGGCGAAGGCGGGUCUCUGGACAGUUCCUGACGCUGAGGCACGAAGGCCAGGGGAGCAAACGGG
rnacentral:rRNA from 1 species